rnacentral:tRNA from 1 species
GAGGGUAUAGCUCAAGUGGUAGAGCGUAUGCUUAGCAUGCCCAAGGUCCUGAGUUCAAUCCCCAGUGCCUCCU